UACAGAGGGUGCAAGCGUUAAUCGGAAUUACUGGGCGUAAAGCGCGCGUAGGUGGUGUGUUAAGUCUGUUGUGAAAGCCCCGGGCUCAACCUGGGAAUGGCAAUGGAUACUGGCAAGCUAGAGUGCGGUAGAGGGUAGUGGAAUUCCCGGUGUAGCGGUGAAAUGCGUAGAGAUCGGGAGGAACACCAGUGGCGAAGGCGGCUACCUGGACCAGCACUGACACUGAGGCACGAAAGCGUGGGGAGCAAACAGG
rnacentral:rRNA from 1 species